GAUGAACGCUAGCUACAGGCUUAACACAUGCGAGUCGAGGGGUAACGAGAGGGAAGCUUGCUUUCCUUGUCGACGACCGGCGCACGGGUGAGUAACGCGUAUCCAACCUGCCCCCAACUAGGGAAUAACCUUGCGAAAGUAAGACUAAUACCCUAUAAUUUCCUCAGAUGUCAUCUGACGAGGAAUAAAGAUUUAUCGGUUGUGGAUGGGGAUGCGUCUGAUUAGCUUGUUGGCGGGGUAACGGCCCACCAAGGCAACGAUCAGUAGGGGUUCUGAGAGGAAGGUCCCCCACAUUGGGACUGAGAAACGGUCAAAACUCCUACGGGAGGCAGCAGUGAGGAAUAUUGGUCAAUGGGCGGAAGCCUGAACCAGCCAAGUAGCGUGCAGGAUGACGGCCCUAUGGGUUGUAAACUGCUUUUAUACAGGAAUAAAGUUAGCCACGUGUGGUUAUUUGUAGGUACUGUAUGAAUAAGGACCGGCUAAUUCCGUGCCAGCAGCCGCAGUAA
rnacentral:rRNA from 1 species